rnacentral:rRNA from 1 species
GGGAGGCAGCAGUGGGGAAUUUUGGACAAUGGGGGGCAACCCUGAUCCAGCCAUGCCGCGUGAGUGAAGAAGGCCUCGGUUGUAAAGCUCUUUCGGUCCGGGAAGAAAUCGUGGUCUCUAACAUAGGUCAUGGAUGACGGUACCGGACUAAGAAGCACCGGCUAACUACGUGCCAGCAGCCGCGGUAAUACGUAGGGUGCGAGCGUUAAUCGGAAUUACUGGGCGUAAAGCGUGCGCAGGCGGUUUUGUAAGACAGAUGUGAAAUCCCCGGGCUUAACCUGGGAACUGCGUUUGUGACUGCAAGGCUAGAGUACGGCAGAGGGGGGUGGAAUUCCUGGUGUAGCAGUGAAAUGCGUAGAGAUCAGGAGGAACACCGAUGGCGAAGGCAGCCCCCUGGGCCUGUACUGACGCUCAUGCACGAAAAGCGUGGGGAGCAAACAGGAUUAGAUACCCUGGUAGUCCACGCCCUAAAACGAUGUCGACUAGUCGUUCGGAGCAGCAAUGCACU